UACGUAGGGUGCAAGCGUUGUCCGGAAUUAUUGGGCGUAAAGAGCUUGUAGGCGGUUUGUCGCGUCUGCUGUGAAAUUUCGGGGCUCAACCCCGAACUUGCAGUGGGUACGGGGAGACUAGAGUGUGGUAGGGGAGACUGGAAUUCCGGGUGUAGUGGUGGAAUGCGUAGAGAUCCGGAGGAACACCAGCGGCGAAGGCGGCAUCCUGGACUGGUCCUGACACUCAGGAGCGAAAGCGUGGGGAGCGAUCCGG
rnacentral:rRNA from 1 species